CAUGUAAUUUUUAACUACCAAACGUCGACGGCCACCUUUUUGCUCCGCCUCCUUUAACUUCUCAUCAGACUCUUCUUCUUGAUAUCGUCGUCUUUCCAGCGGUUCCUCUUCAUCUUGCUCAGGUGACAUGGGCUUAGAUUCUUGCAGGGGAAAAAAAAUGUAGCAAAGCAUUGACCUUGGUUUUGUUUUCAGACUCUAUUUUUUAAUUUAAUUUAAUUUCGUUUCGUAUAGUUAAUUACCAUUUGAUCGUUGUUGUGCGUCGUCUUGAGGAUCAUGAGAAGAGGAACACAUCGGAGCUGUGAGACGUUGAACGACGUCCAUGAAUUCACUUGCUUCGGCAUGGAUGACCUUUGGAGGCACGACGUAGAUCACAACCGGUU
rnacentral:lncRNA from 1 species